UAAUGCUAAUGAUUUUACUGGAAAUAGGAAACUGAAAAGGUUAUAAAAAACGUUGUACUAAUUAUUAAUCAUAAUGGAUAUAAAAUGCAUAAAACAUGUUUUCGUUUUAUGAAGUUGUCUUUUUUUAGGAACAAAAGAUGUUUGAAGACUGAACAUAUUGGUGGUUUAACAUAAAUGUUUAUUUGAAUUUACUUGUCCUUUAUGAAAGAAAACUGACACUAUUGGUAAAAAAGUAAUUAAUCCAG
rnacentral:misc_RNA from 1 species